UACGUAGGGUGCAAGCGUUAAUCGGAAUUACUGGGCGUAAAGCGUGCGCAGGCGGUUUUGUAAGUCAGAUGUGAAAUCCCCGGGCUUAACCUGGGAACUGCGUUUGAAACUACAAGGCUAGAGUGUGGCAGAGGGGGGUGGAAUUCCACGUGUAGCAGUGAAAUGCGUAGAGAUGUGGAGGAACACCGAUGGCGAAGGCAGCCCCCUGGGCCUGUACUGACGCUCAUGCACGAAAGCGUGGGGAGCAAACAGG
rnacentral:rRNA from 1 species